GGCGUGCCUAACACAUGCAAGUCGAGCGGGGUAGCAAUACCCAGCGGCAGACGGGUGAGUAACGCGUGGUCAACCUUCCCGAUAGUGGGGGAUAACUAGCCGAAAGGUUAGCUAAUACCGCAUACGAUCUAUGAGCGGCAUCGCUUAUAGAUGAAAGGAGCAAUCCGCUUUCGGACGGGACCGCGUCCCAUUAGCUAGAUGGUGGGGUAAUGGCCUACCAUGGCGACGAUGGGUAGCUGGUUUGAGAGAGCGACCAGCCACACUGGGACUGAGAAACGGCCCAGACUCCUACGGGAGGCAGCAGUGAGGAAUUUUCCGCAAUGGGCGAAAGCCUGACGGAGCGACGCCGCGUGUGGGAAGAAGGCCUUCGGGUCGUAAACCACUGUCGAAGGGGACGAUAAUGACGGUACCCUUGGAGGAAGCCCCGGCUAACUACGUGCCAGCAGCCGCGGUAAGACGUAGGGGGCAAGCGUUGUUCGGAAUUAUUGGGCGUAAAGCGCUCGUAGGCGG
rnacentral:rRNA from 1 species